rnacentral:rRNA from 1 species
GACGAACGCUGGCGGCGUGCUUAACACAUGCAAGUCGAACGGAAAGGCCCUGCUUUUGUGGGGUGCUCGAGUGGCGAACGGGUGAGUAACACGUGAGUAACCUGCCCUUGACUUUGGGAUAACUUCAGGAAACUGGGGCUAAUACCGGAUAGGAGCUCCUGCUGCAUGGUGGGGGUUGGAAAGUUUCGGCGGUUGGGGCUGGACUCGCGGCUUAUCAGCUUGUUGGUGGGGUAGUGGCUUACCAAGGCUUUGACGGGUAGCCGGCCUGAGAGGGUGACCGGCCACAUUGGGACUGAGGUACGGCCCAGACGCCUACGGGAGGCAGCAGUGGGGAAUAUUGCACAAUGGGCGGAAGCCUGAUGCAGCAACGCCGCGUGCGGGAUGACGGCCUUCGGGUUGUAAACCGCUUUCGCCUGUGACGAAGCGUGAGUGACGGUAAUGGGUAAAGAAGCACCGGCUAACUACGUG